GAGGGUAUAGAUCAGUGGUUAGAGACAUGCUUAGCAUGCAUGAGGUCCUGGGUUCAAAUCCCAGUAUCCCCA
rnacentral:tRNA from 1 species